UACGGGGGGAGCAAGCGUUGUUCGGAUUUACUGGGCGUAAAGGGCGCGUAGGCGGCGCAACAAGUCACUUGUGAAAUCUCCGGGCUUAACCCGGAGCGGCCAAGUGAUACUGUCGUGCUAGAGUGCGGAAGGGGCUACUGGAAUUCUCGGUGUAGCGGUGAAAUGCGUAGAUAUCGAGAGGAACACCUGCGGCGAAGGCGGGUAGCUGGGCCGACACUGACGCUGAGGCGCGAAGGCGUGGGGAGCGAACGGG
rnacentral:rRNA from 1 species